AUUGAACGCUGGCGGCAGGCUUAACACAUGCAAGUCGAACGAGUGGCGGACGGGUGAGUAAUGCUUGGGAAUCUAGCUUAUGGAGGGGGAUAACUACGGGAAAAUGUAGCUAAUACCGCGUACCAUAGGCAGAGCCCAAGUGGGUUAAGGUAGUUGGUGGGGUAAAGGCUCACCAAGCCGACGAUCUCUCGCUGGUCGGAGUGGAUGACCAGCCACACGUGAACGGAGACACGGCCCAGAUGCCUACGUGAGGCAGCGUGGGGUAAUAGUGCGCAUGGGGGGCAACCUGAGGCAGCCAGGCGGCGGUGUGGAAAAAGGCUUUGGGUUUGAAAAGUCUGUUCAGCGGGGAGGCGUUACCCGCAGAAGAAGCACCGGCUAACUCCGUGCCAGCAGCCGCGGUAAUAC
rnacentral:rRNA from 1 species